UGCUUCAAUUCAGUCUCAGAACAUUUACGGAUUUAUUUCAUUACAUUCACAGAAAAUGGCAUUUAGCGUUGUACAUUUGCUAAUGACCGAUGAAGUGGCUGUCGUCCAAGCAAAUGAGUGUCAGAUGAUAAAAAGGGACAUGUAACUGGCCUUCGUAUAAAGAAAGAAGUCACAUGAAAAGAGCAAUUCUGGAACACAGAGAACCAGAUACAUCCUGAGAGAAUUUUUAUAUUGUUAUCCUGGGAGAAUAUUGUGCUUUCAAAGAAAAUCGGGCCACCAGAGAGGUACCUUGCAAUAUUAUUGAAAAUAUUAUAAAAGACUGGUUGAAAAGUGUUUCAUUUAGAGAAAAGUAUCAUAAACAAAAAGGAAAAUGUACAACAGAAGGAAGUUUGUAAACAAUGGAAUAAAAAAUUUGUGUAUUAGCUUGUACGAAAAUACUGUAAUUAAAGUUAUUAAUUGUUCA
rnacentral:lncRNA from 1 species